AGGGAUUCUGCUAAACUAGGGAGGCACAGAAGGUUUCCAGGAAGUGGCACAUUUAAAGCUGGAUCCUUAAGAAAGCCUGACACAACGGAGCUUGCGUUUCGACUGCACAUUCAGGACGGUUGCCAGCUCUCUGCUAGCUGUUGGUGACCCGCAGCAGGAAAAGUGCCGCGGGGCUAGGUGCGAAGUUGGUAACACGGAGGCAAAAGAUAACGAGGGGCAGUUUUCAAAGUGCUCCAGGGCCUCCAGCGGCGAGGCACCCGUGGACUGCACAGCAGUGGUGCAGCUCUGAAAACACACGCAAUCCACUCUUGGCUGGCUUCAGGAAUCCAGCUACCCAUCUGGGAUUCCUCCCAGCACCUGCCAUUAUUCACUGCUACUGGGAAUGUGCACCGGCUUUCUGAAACAGCCCAGGUCUGGACGUUGCAUUGUUUCUUUUCACCCUUUCUGAAUUGGGAAAUUCACAUGUCUCCUAACACAGAAAAAGCCCCCGCCAAACAGUCUGAGGGUCUGACAAACUCCUGAGAUAUCUGAGAUGGAACAGAGAGAAGCUUGGUGUGCACCUAUCAAUGAAGAAAAAAGAGUGAUGUCCCAGAAGACCACUGGGAUAUUACCUGGGACCAGUGGUUGUUUGUUGGAAAUCCAGGUUUAGUUCCCUUAAUGGCCUGUUACUCUAGAGCUCAUCUCACUCUCUCAGGCCACCCUUUUCAAUUUGAAACAAAAGAAUAGCAGAAUAGGACACGUGUA